CUGGUACUGAAGCUGUAACUACAGUAACUGGAUACAGAGGAGGAUCAGUUCAGAUUAAAUGUCCCUAUGAAUCUGGAUAUGAAGAUAACAACAAAUAUCUCUGCAGAGGUAAAUGUUCCUAUGGGGUGAAUAAAGACAUUCCUGUUAAAUCUGGAUCUCCUGCUGAAGACCCCAGAUUUUCUCUGUAUGAUGACAAAACAGCCCGAGUCUUCACCGUCAGCAUCACUGAUCUGAGACCUGAGUAUGGAAACACUUACUGGUGUGCGAUAGAGUGGACAUGGCCUUUGCCUGAUAUUUACACAGAGAUUCUACUGCAGGUUAAAACAGUUGAUCCCACCAUCAGUUCUGUCUCACACACCACACAUUUCACUCCAACCAUGGGGACACGACACAUUCAGUAACAGAUAAGUUACUAACUUAUACUCUCCACAAAACCUCCAUCACUCCCUCAUCUCAGG